rnacentral:misc_RNA from 1 species
CGUAGGUGAACCUGCGGAAGGAUCAUUGUCGGCGACCCGUGAAAACACGACCGGAGCACACGUGAUGGAACGCUGCUGGAGCGGGAGAUCCGCGCUAGCCAACCGGCCACUGUCCUCGUGCCGCUCGGCGCGUCGGCUGCGGGCUGAUCACGGCGUGGGAUGACGCCAAGUAACAUGCGAUGCGGAGGCGGCGGCGGCUCGUCGGAGCGUGCCGCUUGCUGCCGACGUGAUGGAAAUCAACAUGACUCUCGGCAACGGAUAUCUCGGCUCUCGCAUCGAUGAAGAACGUAGCGAAAUGCGAUACGUG